AAAUCGAGCGGUAACAGGAGAAGCUUGCUUCUCGCUGACGAGCGGCGGACGGGUGAGUAAUACUUAGGAAUCUGCCCAGUAGUGGGGGAUAGCACGGGGAAACUCGUAUUAAUACCGCAUACACCCUACGGGGAAAAGGGGGCGCUUGCGCUCUCGCUAUUGGAUGAGCCUAAGUCGGAUUAGCUAGUUGGUGGGGUAAAGGCCUACCAAGGCGACGAUCUGUAGCUGGUCUGAGAGGAUGAUCAGCCACACCGGGACUGAGACACGGCCCGGACUCCUACGGGAGGCAGCAGUGGGGAAUAUUGGACAAUGGGGGCAACCCUGAUCCAGCCAUGCCGCGUGUGUGAAGAAGGCCUUUUGGUUGUAAAGCACUUUAAGCAGUGAAGAAGACUCUAUGGUUAAUACCCAUAGACGAUGACAUUAGCUGCAGAAUAAGCACCGGCUAACUCUGUGCCAGCAGCCGCGGUAAUACAGAGGGUGCAAGCGUUAAUCGGAAUUACUGGGCGUAAAGCGAGCGUAGGUGGCUUAAUAAGUCAGAUGUGAAAUCCCCGGGCUUAACCUGGGAACUGCAUCUGAUACUGUUGGGCUAGAGUAGGUGAGAGGGAGGUAGAAUUUCAGGUGUAGCGGUGAAAUGCGUAGAGAUCUGAAGGAAUACCGAUGGCGAAGGCAGCCUCCUGGCAUCAUACUGACACUGAGGUUCGAAAGCGUGGGUAGCAAACAGGAUUAGAUACCCUGGUAGUCCACGCCGUAAACGAUGUCUACUAGUCGUUGGGGAACUUGAUUCCUUAGUGACGCAGCUAACGCAAUAAGUAGACCGCCUGGGGAGUACGGCCGCAGGUAAACUCAAAUGAAUUGACGGGGGCCCGCACAAGCGGUGGAGCAUGUGGUUAAUUCGAUGCACGCGAAAACUUACUGGUCUGACUAUCUA
rnacentral:rRNA from 1 species